GGCUGCACCCUCCUGUUCUGCUGCAUCAGAGAGGGUGAUAUAACCCAAGCUCACACUUGUAACUAAAGACCCUAGUGUGAUUGCAUCGGAGUCGGCUUCCUGGUGAUCUUUUGGGGUUCACGGACACCUUCUGGGACAGCAGCUCCUGUUCGGUUUGGCUUCCCUGUUACUUGGAUAAAACCCUGACCAGAAGCAACUUGGGGUUGGGUGUGGGGAGUGGCUGUUUUGUUUUGUUUUGUUUUGUUUUGUUUUGUUUUGUUUUUCUUCAUCUUACAGCUCCAAAUGGUAGUCAUCACUGAAGGAAGCCAAGACAGGAAUCUGGAGGCAGGACCUGAAGCAGAGGACCCUCAGCGGAGGUUCCUAUCCUGGGUAACAAGUGGACACCAACUAGACAGAAUAUUCCCCAGCCCUGCUGUGACGGGUAGUCACUGUGGACAAGACUGGUGUCUGGUACCAAGGGAAAGGUGGGGCAGCAGACUAAAGCUGGAGUUCAGGGCAGGCUCGGGGUCUUGGUCACACACCAUCAUAUAAGGAAGAAGCUCAGAGCAGGGUUCUAAGGUGACAUGUGACAUGUUCAGGUGCUGUGUGCUAUGUUCCCUGGGCUUUCCAGGUUACACAGAAAACUUGCUGUUUGAAUGCAGAUCCUGGGGUUCCACGAAGGCACUGUGCCUUUGGUUAUACGUGAGCCUCAGUUUCCUCUUGCCAAGGAGGGUGGGGUGAGUAUCAAAUAGGCGCUGGGUCCCAUGUGUCCCUCAGGUCCAGUGCACAGCGUGGCUGCUGCUUCUCCUUAUAGACUGUGAAAUGUAAGAUACCCCAAGUCCACAUAUUGUUGGACUUUCUUUCUUCAAGUUGGUGUGGUGUUCUGAGAGCACACAUUUCUCUGCAACAGCCACGCCCCAAACUGGAAUUCCCAAGGAUGCAUCACACUGAGCAGGACGGUUCACUCAGCCCCAAGCGUGGUCGCCCAUAAAACUUGACACGGACACGGUGCCCCUGGCAGGUUUUAUUUAUAAUCUGCCUGUGAUCUGCUUCGGGAAUACAAUAUUUUCUCCCUAUAAUCUGGGAAGCUCUGCAUGCUGGAAUAAUCUCGCAGGGAAUAUUCUGAGAAGGGACCUGUCUUCCUGUAAUGAAAAGUUUUGGAAUUAUUAGUCCUAAGCAGCAUCUUUGAGAUUAUCUGUGACCUUGGCCUCCCGAUCAAAUAGCAAUUGGAAGAGCUCCUUCGACUGUCUCUCAGAGAGGCAUUUUCUAAUUAGUACUUGGAACCUUCCAGAACCAGAAGCACGCCAUUUAAGUCUUCAACGCUCAUUCCGUGGUCCUCAGAUCCUCAGAGGAGGCUCUGUGUCCGCACCGGAUCUGUCUCCUUUGAACCUACCUUUCUGGUCCCCAUUCAGUCCUGUGCAGUCCAGAGAACCUGGCAGCUCUUCUGCAGCCAGAUCUAUCUUUGAACUGCUGUAUCUCUUGUGGGUGAAAAUGUGGGGCUCUGCUUCAGAGCAAAAUUCAAAACAAUCCAGGCUCUGGCAGGCUUUCUUCUUUCCACUGGUGUUUGUACUUAGUGUUUAAUAAAUAUGGGGAGGGUCAAAAUAUGAUGUCAUUAGCACAAAUUUGAUUGAACAUAUCCGGGUUUUGUUUCUGGCCAGUGCUGGAAAGUGACUUGUGAUCGCAUGCUUCCUAAGUACGUGCUCACUAAGCUGCACCCCCCACUCCCUGUAUCAAAUUAAAAAAAAAUAAAAGUAAGGGCAUUGUGUUUGUAAA
rnacentral:lncRNA from 1 species